AUGAGUUCGUUAAUCUGGAACUGCAGCGGGGGGGGGGACCGCCGGACAGUUCGUGAGGUGUUUGCCCUCUACAAAGCCAAUUCCCCGGGGCUUGUCUUCCUUUCAGAGACUCGACAAGCUUCUAGUAAGAUGGAGAAACUCAAGUGGAGACUAAGGAUGAAGGGUUUUGCUGGUGUGUCUAGCGAUGGUGUCAGUGGGGGCCUUGCACUAUAUUGGGAUGAGAAUCUUCAAGUCACAGUCCUGGACUCUUGUGCACGGUAUAUAGACGUGCGGAUUGUUGAUGGUGCAAAUGAUAAAUCUUGGAGGACAACUUAUGUAUAUGGAGAACCGCGGGUAGAAAAAAUCAUCACCGAAUGUGGAGUUUGCUUUCCAACCUAA
rnacentral:rRNA from 1 species